AUUGAACGCUGGCGGCAUGCCUUACACAUGCAAGUCGAACGGCAGCACGGGAGCAAUCCUGGUGGCGAGUGGCGAACGGGUGAGUAAUAUAUCGGAACGUGCCCAGUCGUGGGGAUAACGGUAGCGAAAGCUACGCUAAUACCGCAUACGAUCUAUGGAUGAAAGCGGGGGAUCGCAAGACCUCGCGCGAUUGGAGCGGCCGAUAUCAGAUUAGGUAGUUGGUGAGGUAAAGGCUCACCAAGCCGACGAUCUGUAGCUGGUCUGAGAGGACGACCAGCCACACUGGGACUGAGACACGGCCCAGACUCCUACGGGAGGCAGGCAGUGGGGAAUUUUGGACAAUGGGCGCAAGCCUGAUCCAGCAAUGCCGCGUGCAGGAUGAAGGCCUU
rnacentral:rRNA from 1 species